rnacentral:siRNA from 1 species
ACCGAUCUGAAAAUCUGAAUGCC